rnacentral:tRNA from 2 species
GGGCGGGUAGCUCAGCCGGCUAGAGCGUCUGGUUUACACCCAGAAGGUCGUGGGUUCAAGUCCCUCCCCGCCCACCA